AACGAACGCUGGCGGCAUGCCUAACACAUGCAAGUCGAACGAGACCUUCGGGUCUAGUGGCGCACGGGUGCGUAACGCGUGGGAAUCUGCCCUUGGGUUCGGAAUAACUUCGGGAAACUGAAGCUAAUACCGGAUGAUGACGUAAGUCCAAAGAUUUAUCGCCCAAGGAUGAGCCCGCGUAGGAUUAGCUAGUUGGUGAGGUAAAGGCUCACCAAGGCGACGAUCCUUAGCUGGUCUGAGAGGAUGAUCAGCCACACUGGGACUGAGACACGGCCCAGACUCCUACGGGAGGCAGCAGUGGGGAAGUAUUGGACAAUGGGCGAAGCCUGAGUCCA
rnacentral:rRNA from 1 species